UACAGAGGGGGCAAGCGUUGUUCGGAAUUACUGGGCGUAAAGCGCGUGUAGGCUGCGGAGUAAGUCGGAUGUGAAAUCCCCUUGGCUUAACCUUGGAACUGCGUCGGAUACUGGAUGGCUUGAAUUCGGGAGAGGGAUGCAGAAUUCCAGGUGUAGCGGUGAAAUGCGUAGAUAUCUGGAGGAAUACCGGUGGCGAAGGCGGCAUCCUGGACCGACAUUGACGCUGAACGGCGAAAGCUAGGGGAGCAAACGGG
rnacentral:rRNA from 1 species